UAGCCUAGUAGUUAAAAGGCUAUGGAUCGCCAAUCCGAAGACGGCGGGUUCGAUUCCCGU
rnacentral:tRNA from 1 species